rnacentral:rRNA from 1 species
UACAGAGGGUGCGAGCGUUAAUCGGAGUUACUGGGCGUAAAGGGCGCGUAGGUUGAUAUGUAAGUGAGUUGUGAAAUCCCUGGGCUUAACCUAGGAACUGCAACUUAUACUGUGUAUCUAGAGUACUGUAGAGGGUAGUGGAAUUUCCGGUGUAGCGGUGAAAUGCGUAGAGAUCGGAAGGAACACCAGUGGCGAAGGCGGCUACCUGGACAGAUACUGACACUGAGGCGCGAGAGCGUGGGUAGCAAACAGG